rnacentral:rRNA from 1 species
GCCUCCCCUCCCGGCGCCGACCCCACCACGGGGACGGGGCGCCCGCCGGAGGAAACCAAACUCUAUUUACACGACGUCUCUUCUGAGUGGCACAAGCAAAUAAUUAAAACUUUUAACAACGGAUCUCUUGGUUCUGGCAUCGAUGAAGAACGCAGCGAAAUGCGAUAAGUAAUGUGAAUUGCAGAAUUCAGUGAAUCAUCGAAUCUUUGAACGCACAUUGCGCUCGCCAGCAUUCUGGCGAGCAUGCCUGUUCGAGCGUCAUUUCAACCCUCAAGCACCGCUUGGUUUUGGGGCCCCACGGCACACGUGGGCCCUUAAAGGUAGUGGCGGACCCUCCCGGAGCCUCCUUUGCGUAGUAACUAACGUCUCGCACUGGGAUCCGGAGGGACUCUUGCCGUAAAACCCCCCAAUUCUUUACAGGUUGACCUCGGAUCAGGUA